UUUCAUUCCAGUACUUACCUGCUUUGGCCACUAGAUGGAGCUUGUAUGCCUGAGAGACAAAAACGCAGAUUCAGUUGACCUCGGAAACUAGUGAAACUAAGCUAUCAGGACACUGAGAAGAGGAAACCACUCAAACUAAAUUUUAAGUGGUCCUGGUUCUUAAGUUUAUCCUUAAAAGAAUCCGAAGUGAGAUGAUGAUUCUUCGCGAUAGUCUCUUGAAUAAAUUGGAAGAAGUUCGUUUAGCAAGACCUGUGGAACCAAAUCGUCUUUCUACCUAGAAAUGACGGUCACGGCCCGAGACUCCAAAUUUAUAGAAAUGACAGGUGGUGCUCUUACACUCAAUUCUUGUACCUAUCUAGGAGAAAAGUGAACUUAUAUACUAUUAACUUAAAUAUGAAUAUUUAUAAUAUCCACAACCUCAUCAAAAU